CCUACGGGGGGCAGCAGUGGGGAAUAUUGGACAAUGGGCGAAAGCCUGAUCCAGCCAUGCCGCGUGUGUGAAGAAGGCCUUCGGGUUGUAAAGCACUUUCAGUGGGGAAGAAAGCCUUGGGGCUAAUACCCUCGAGGAAGGACAUCACCCACAGAAGAAGCACCGGCUAACUCCGUGCCAGCAGCCGCGGUAAUACGGAGGGUGCGAGCGUUAAUCGGAAUUACUGGGCGUAAAGCGCGCGUAGGCGGUCUGAUAAGCCGGUUGUGAAAGCCCCGGGCUCAACCUGGGAACGGCAUCCAGAACUGUCAGGCUAGAGUGCAGGAGAGGAAGGUAGAAUUCCCGGUGUAGCGGUGAAAUGCGUAGAGAUCGGGAGGAAUACCAGUGGCGAAGGCGGCCUUCUGGACUGACACUGACGCUGAGGUGCGAAAGCGUGGGUAGCAAACAGGAUUAGAUACCCCUGUAGUC
rnacentral:rRNA from 1 species